CUUCAGAGGAGUUAGCCACAUUCCAAUGUGUGCGGACCGGCAAAAAAUGCGAAAUAGCCCUUUAACCGUACUUUUCACAAAAGCACCUGCACUGACUUUUUCGUAGACCUUAUUAAGAUACACGUGUGUGUCAAUUUUUGUAUCAAUAUGACAAAGCGUACAGACGUGGUUUUUGGCGUUAGGGUUAAAAUCACUGUCCAAAACCUUUGUAGGAACUCUUUUCCAACCUUUUGGAGUUAGCUAGACCAAAAAAAAAAACGAAAAAUGAAAAAAAAAAUGUUUGGGGUUUGAAGGCUUCCUGAAGGUAAUACCCGGGUAUUAGGUUACGGGGCUAUGGUAAGGUUUAAGGUUUUUGGCGUUAGGGUUAAAAUCACUGUCCAAAACCUUUGUAGGAUCUGCUUUUUCAACCUUUUUGAGUUAGUUAGACAAAAAAAAAAAAAACGAAAAAUGAAAUGAAAAUUUUUGGGUGUGGGUCCAUGUUAAUUUUGUUGACGAAAAAUUUUCGUCAUUGUCAUCGUCAACGACCUUUUUUUUCUGACUAAAACGAGACGAUAACUUGAUAAAAAGUAAUUCACAAGGCCUAAGACGAUAACGAAGUGUAUUGACAUGUUUGUCAACGAAUAAAAACGAGACGAAAAUGUCUGGCAAGGAUCCAAUCAGAGCUCAUUUUGUUUGUGGAAGGAAAUGACGAUUUUAGAAAGAGGCGGGAGGAGUUGGGAGGGAGAACCAAUCAGAGCGACGUGGUUAGGAUGUUUGAGACCGAGCCCGGCAAAGGCGAAAUGUCCCCGCGCUCCUCGUCGUGCUCAGCUGAAAAUGUCAACAACAGCAGGGAGGAAGAGGCGUCAGGAUGUGUGGACGCACUUUACUUUUGAUUUAAAGGACAACAAAACACUUUGCAAAAACUGUGGAGCAAAAAUAACCGGGAAAAACACAACGAAUCUGAAGAGGCACCUGGAGUCGAGCCACCAUGAUAUAUACGCUCAGGUAAGCAUGAAUGAAUGAAUGGAUGAAACCUGCUCCAUAACGUUAACGUAACGUUACAUUUUAACAUAACACACAAGGCUCUGAACAUACGUGAACUCACUCACUAGCCUGGUUAUUUUUUUGCUCUUUUGUUAAACCCACACCGCCAUGUGCAUUUUCUUUCAACGGGGGCUCUCUGAUAAAUCAAUCUCGUUAAUUAUCAUUUAACGUUACGGUGCGGGUCGUCGGGGGCGAUACCAAUACACCACUGCUGUUCUGUUAAGCUAAAGGUACCUGCUGGCUGCUGAUUUAAAUGCAUAUAAUUCAUUUAACUAUUUUGUUGGUGUUAAAAAUGAACUCUACCGUCCUUUUUUCUUCAUCACAGCUACAGAAGACUUCAGGUGACCUCGAUGGGCCACAGGGUGCCAAGAAAAAGAAAGGAACAGUUUUGGCUGCCUUUUUGAAUGUUUUGAAACAUAAAUAAAAUGAAUUACAAGUGGAAUCUGUCUGUGUGUGAAUUGAACAGUUGUUCUUUAACACAGGUUUAUUGUUGUAAAGGUAAUGACUUUCAGAAAAUGUACAUAUUAUUACCCUUUACACACUUUUUAGUUGACUAAAUCUAUUGUAAUUUUCAUCGACUAAAACUCUUGUGAUAUUAGUCGACUAAAACUAGACUAAACUAAAAAGAUUUCAGAUGACUAAAAUAUGACUAAAACUAAGUAGUGUUUUAGUCAAAAGACUAAGACUAAAACUAAAUCAGAAUUUGUUGUCAAAAUUAACACUGGUGUGGGUAAGAGAUAGAGUGAUAGCCCCCACAUUCGUCAGUUGCCUUGGCGGUUUGGGGUAGGCUGAUCAAGGGCUUGCACUGGCCGGCACAUGUCGACCUGUCACAUGUUCCCAGUCGAUUCUCCGAGCUCAAUCUGUGUGUAAAAAUUAUGUGUUGGUAGGAAGUUUAAUGACUCAGCUCAAUUGGUAUGCUAUGCUGUCUAUCUUUUAGACUAUGUGUUUGUAGAGCAAUUAUUUUUGGAGGUUCAGUUAGGGAGUAGAGUUGGUAUGGUUAAGUGUUAAAAUAAUAAUAAUAAUAAUAAUAAUAAUAAUAAUAAUAAUAAUAAUAAUAUUAUUAUUAUUAUUAAUAAUAAUUUUUCUUAUUGAGAAGGACUAGGUGGUGUUCGUAGGGAGGGAAUAGGGUGAAUUUUAUCUAUAGGAGUAGGGUUAUGGUGCAUUAGUGCAAAGUCUCAGAGGUGCCACAAACUUCAAACACGACACAAACUCAAGUUCAAAAACACCACAGACUCAAGUUCAAAAACGACACAAACUGAAGUUCAACAAACAAAACUAACUAUUAAGAGUAAUUUUGAGGUGUUUUUCGUAGACUUACCCUAGUGGUCCUAUGUUGUUGUUGAUGUGAGGCGUUUCUUUUCCAGUAGUCUAAAAUCUGUUGGAGGGGGGAAAAGGUUCCAGCUGUCCAGCCGCGGCGGCAGCGGUGUGUCUGAAGUCCGGGGUCCUCGGCGGGGGAAAGAAGAUAGGCGCUCCGCGGGAAGGUUUGCUGGGACUCGGUGCCGUCGGCGGGGCGAAGCUCGGUGGUGGGCGGCUUGGAGUGAUGGAGGUGCGGCGUCUUCCUCGAGGCGGUGGUCCGUCUUCUUGGUCCAGUGGUCAGUGCUCAUUUACAGGAACAGGAAUUGCUGUUUAGUGCACAGCACUUAAUUGUGCUUUUGACAGGAGAAGACAUCCUCAGAGUUGGGCUCCAGUCAUGGUUUGUGCUGUUCCUCUCAGACAUGGUUGUGUUCUCUUCUCGAUGUUUGUAUUCCAGAAUGGAUGUCUCUUGGUUGUAUUUUAAACUUUCAAGUUGUUUUAAGUUAAUUUUAAUGUAGUUUUGUUUUAAAUUGAGUUUUGCUACAUUAAAUUUGUAUGCAAUGGUAAGGGAUUGUGGGUAUUUUAGUUCUCAGGGAUGAGAGCCUAAGGAAUCAAUCUUCCUGUUACAGCAAAGGAUUGUGGGUAAAACCGUGAGUGAGGGAGGUACAUUUUUCCUGGCAUGAGAACCUCAGGAGUCAGUCCUUCCUAAGAAAAAAGAGGGGAGGGGGAAGAAAAACAAAAGCACAGGAACCCUAAAAUAAAAUAAAAUAAAAUAAUAUAAAACAAUGAAAAAAUAAAAAAAUAAAAGAAGAACAAAAGUGGAUUGCAAAAGGGAAAGGGGAAGAAAAAAGGAAAAAAAGAAGUGUCAAGAGCAAAUAGCAAAAAUCAGAAGUGAGCUUAAAAACAGAGAACAGUUCCCUAAAAGACAGACAGAAAUGUAAAUUUGAUCAAUGUCCUAAGGGAAAAUCUGUACGUGUAUGUGUGUUCUUUUUUGCAAGCUUAGUCUGGUGUCACUGAUGGUCAGUUAUUAAUAAGUAUUUAUUAUUUAAAUUUUUGAUGAAGUUGUUUGUAGUGGGGUUAGCUGGCUAAUUUUAGAGUGUUAAAAAAGAUGUUAGAGGGGGAGGAUUUAGGGGGCACGGCGGUUCCCCUUCAGGUCUCUCUUAAUCCUCCAUAUAGGUGACCCAACAGGGGUUACCCCCCGGCCUGGGUAGGCCUAGGCUGAAGAUCACCUAUUUGUCCUCUGUGAAGGUGAAAAUAAAGGGGCAGGGGAGGGAAUAAGAAAGAGGGGGUGUGUUAGAGAGAGGGGGAGAGAUGAGGGAGAGAGAUGAGGGAGAGAGAGAGAGGGGUGUGUGUGUGUGUGUGUGAGAGAGAGAGAGAGAGAGAGAGAGAGAGAAGGGAAGAGGGAGAGGGGGGUUUAAGGGAGAGGUGGAGAUGGUGGAAAAUAAAGAUUGGUGAGGGGGAUUUGGUGGCGGAUGAAACAUCCCAUAGCUCCCCUGCUCUCACCAUCCAUGUGAGGAGAGUGAGCAAGGGACAUAGUCCCCCGACCCGACUAGGUCUAGGCUCUGCUCUCCUCACGGUCCUCACAAGAUACAAAGAGAUAUGUAAACGUGGAAGUGAGAGUUCUCUAGGCAGAGUUUUGGGUUUGGUUUGAGCUGAGUUGGUCAGUUGAUUAUUGAUUACUAUUUUAAGUUCUAAAAGUGGAUAGAGUCAAAAAGUCACAGAGGAUUGUGGUGGGAGCAGGUGGUCCGUCUGGCACCAUUCUGCUCAUGCAGGGAUUCGAGUGAUAGAAAGAGAAUAGAUCUUGCCACCGUGACUCGCCAUUGAGACUCUCCUCACCUGCUGGUUUUCAUCCUCUGAUAGGAGAGAGAGGUACAGAUCAGGAGAGAGGGAGAAAAGGAGGGAGGCAGGGUGGGGUCAGUAGUUAAUUUGUCUUGAAAAGUAUUUAUCUUUUCGUCAUUGCUGUUAGGGUUUAGAUGUUUUUUGUUUAGUUAUCUGAGGAAUGUAGUGUUAGUAUAGGUUCCAAGGUGGAGAAUUCUUUGGAAUUCACUUUCACCCUUGAAACUGGAAGAUCUUAGAUUCUAUAAAGGGUGGGGGGGUUGUGUGCACAGAAGGAGCAUGGGCUCAGACUAUUCUCUGAAUGAUAUUGUGACAAGUCUGUCCGAACGCAAGUGGCUGGUUAGGUGUGGGAAAGAGAUAGAGUGAUAGCCCCCGCUUUUGUCAGUUGACUUGGCGGUUUGGGGUAGGCUGAUCAAGGGCUUGCACUGGCCGGCGCAUGUCGACCUGUCACAUGUUCCAGUCGAGUCUCCGAGCUCAAUCUGUGUGUAAAAAUUAUGUGUUGGUAGAAAGUUUAAUGACUCAGCUCAGUUGGUAUGCUAUGCUGUCUAUCUUUUAGACUAUGUGUUUGUAGAGCAAUAUUAUGUAUAUAUUAUGUUACAGGGCUAGGAAAAGGUUAAAGGUUUUUGGUGUUAGGGUUAAAAUCACUGUCCAAAACCUUUGUAGGAACUCUUUUCCAACCUUUUGGAGGGAGCUAGACUAAAAAAAAAAAAAAUAAUAAUAAUGAAAAAAAAGUUUUUGGGGGUGUUAAGACUUCCUGAAGGUAAUACCCAGGUAUUAGGUUACGGGGCUAGGGUAAGGUUUAAGGUUUUUGGCGUAUGGGUUAAAAUCACUGUCCAAAACCUUUGUAGGAACUCUUUUCCAACCUUUUGGAGUUCGUUAGACCAAAAAAAGAAAAAGAAAAAAAUAUGUUUGGGGUGUUAAGGCUUCCUAAAGGUAAUACCCUGGUAUUAUGGUUAUGUGGCUAUGGUAAGGUUUAAGGUUUUUGGCGAAAGGGUUAAAAUCACUGUCCAAAACCUUUGUAGGAACUCUUUUCCAACCUUUUGGAGUUAUUUACACCAAAAAACAAUGAAAAAUGAAAAAAAAAUAUUUGGGGUUUUCGGGCUUCCUGAAGGUAAUACCCGGGUUAUUAGGUUAUGGGGCGAGGGUAAGGUUUAAGGUUUUUGGCGUUAAGGUUAAAAUCACUGUCCAAAACCUUUUUAGGAACAUGUUUCAGACCUUUUGGAGUUGGUUACACAAAAAAAAAUGUAAAAUGAAAAAAAUAUUUGGGGUGUUCAGGCUUCCUGAAGGUAAUAACCGUACUACUCGGGUAUUAGGUUAUGGGGCUAGGGUAAGGUUUAAGGUUUAUGGCGUGAGGGUUAAAAUCACUGUCCAAUAUUUUUUAAGGAACAUGUUUCAGACCUUUUGGAGUUAGUUAAACCAAUAAAAUGAAUAAAAAAAUAUUUGGGGUUUUCGGGCUUCCUGAAGGUAAUACCCGGGUAUUAGGUUAUGGGGCUAGGGGAAGGUUUAAGGUUUUUGGCGUUAGGGUUAAAAUCACUGUCCAAAACCUUUUUAGGAACAUGUUUCAGAACUUUUGGAGUUUGUUACACCAAAAAAAAAAUGUAAAAUGAAAAAAAAAUAUAUUUGGGGUGUUCGGGCUUCCUGAAGGAAAUACCCAGGUAUUAGGUUAUGGGGCUAUGGUAAGGUCUAAGGUUUUUGGCAUUAGGGUUAAAAUCACUGUCCAAAACCUUUGUUGGAAUAAGUUUCAGACCUUUUGGAGUUAGGUAGACCAAAAAGAAAUGAAAAGUGAAAAAAAAAUAUUUGGGGUGUUCGGGCUUCCUGAAGGUAAUACCCAGGUAUUAGGUUAUGGGGCGAGGGGAAAUUUUAAGGCUUUUGGCGUUAGGGUUAAAAUCACUGUCCAAAACCUUUGUAGGAACUCUUUUCCAAGCUUUUGGAGUUAGUUAGACCAAAAAAAUGAAUAAAAAAAUAUUUGGGGUUUUCGGGCUUCCUGAAGGUAAUACCCAGGUAUUAGGUUAUGGGGCUAGGGGAAGGUUUAAGGCUUUUGGCGUUAGGGUUAAAAUCACUGUCCAAAACCUUUGUAGGAACUCUUUUCCAACCUUUUGGAGUUAGUUAGACCAAAAAAAAAAGAAAAAUGAAAAAAAUAUAUUUGGGGUGUUCGGGCUUCCUGAAGGUAAUACCCAGGUAUUAGGUUAUGGGGCUAGGGUAAGGUUUUAGGUUUAUGGCGUUAGGGUUAAAAUCACUGUCCAAAACCUUUUUAGGAACAUGUUUCAGACCAUUUGCAGUUGGUUAAACCAAAAAAAAAAAAGUAAAAUGAAAAAAAAAAUAUUUGGGGUGUUCGGGCUUCCUGAAG